rnacentral:rRNA from 1 species
CCCUUAGAUGUUCUGGGCCGCACACGCGCUACACUGAAGGAGGCAGCGUGUACUCCUGGAUCGAAAGAUUUGGGUAACCCGCGAAUCUCCUUCGUGCUAGGGAUUGAGGUUUGCAAUUAUCCUUCAUGAACGAGGAAUUCCCAGUAAGUGCGAGUCAUUAUCUCGCGCUGACUACGUCCCUGCCCUUUGUACACACCGCCCGUCGCUACUACCGAUUGAAUGAUUUAGUGAGGACUUCGGACUGAGUCCAAUGCGGCUUUCGGGCUGCGUUGGUAUUUCGGAAAGAUGUCCAAACUGUAUCAUUUAGAGGAAGUAAAAGUCGUAACA